rnacentral:misc_RNA from 1 species
UGACGACAUCAUCAGCACAGG